AAAAUUUGCUUGGUUACUAAAGAUCCCCCAGGGUAAUUGAUUCAUCCUAAAAUGAUUUUGGAUAUUAUUUUUCUUCUCACUUCUGUUCCUCAUUUCCAACAUAAACAAUCUUAACAAAGUAAGCCAAUUCAAUUAUAGUGUAAUUGUAAAGCCAUACAAAAAAAACCAAUCAGAAACCAAUUGGAUUUUUAUGGAUGGAGGGAGGACUUGUCAAUGAUCUGCUGUUUCCAGCACCAGUAUUAUUGUUAUUGGUUAUUGGUUAUUGUUUUUUAUACAAAGUUGACUUUAACAAAUAAAAUCCUUUUGGUGUUGAAGCUUCAAAGAAAACCUUCAGAAAAUAUCCGGAGUUUUUCUGCCAUUGAACUUUUAGAACUCCAGUUUUCUGCAACAAUCUUUCUGUUCCUCUCCAUCCCCUUCCCUAAACUCAGUAAAUGCUUGGGUUGUAUAUACUGCUAGAGUUUCUCUAGUUUUUAAGUUUUCUAUUUAAAAUAAUCCAUCAUUAAACAUUUAAUGACUAGCAAUGACUAUUGUGCUAAUCAGAGGAUACAAAAAAAUAUUCCAUGCCCUCAAGGAAUUUAUAGGGAGAAAACAUGCACAUAUGAAAAGUACUUUAAAAAAUAAGUAGAAUGGGGCAGCUAGGUGGUAUAGUGGAUAGAGCACCAUCUCUGAAGUCAGGAGGACCUGAAUUCAAAUUUGGUCUCAGACACAUAACACUUCCUAGCUGUGUGACCCUGGGCAAGUCACUUAACCCAAAUUACCUCAACAACAACAAAAUAAGUAGUGAUGAGAGGGAAGGAAGGUAGUAGAGCUGGUAGCAUUAAGAGAGAGCUCAUGUAAAAGGUAAAUGAGCUGAGUUUGAAAGAAUUUUAUGUCAUUUGUCCUUUUCACUCACUUCAAUGUACAUGUAUCUUUGGAUGUUUGAGGAUUUUGCAUAUAUCUUUUGGUGUAAUUUUGUGUUUUUAAAUCAUUUUUGGAUGAAAUCUGCAUGUAGAUGAUAUACCUAUGGAAACUAAUGAGAAUAUGAAGUGAGGUAGUGUACAAUUAAAAUAGUGGAAGACCCUGGACAAUACCUCAGGAGAUUCCCUUAAUUUGUAGGUUUGGACAACCAGAAAAAGAAUCAAGUAAGGAAAAAGCAGCAUCACGAAAAGAGAAUAUCCACAGAAUUGAAUGCUGCAGAAACAUCAAGAAAGGAUCAAGAUUAUUAAGCAAAGGCAUAUAGGUUUAGGCAGUUAAAAGAUCAUUAUUAACUUUGGAAAGGGUAUUUAAGUUGAAAGAUGAAUGCAGACGCCAGACAUUUUAGAAAAAUGAGAGGAAAGGAAAUGAAGGCAGAGAGUAAGUUUAGAUGACUUUCUCAAGGAAAAGGGAAGAGCUAAGGAAGUAGUAAGAUAUAGAAUGAGAGCUCAAAGGGAUGACAGAAUCAAAGAAAAAAAAUUUUUUUCUUUUUUAAAGGAUGGGGGAUAUGAUCUGUGUCUUCUCUAUAGACUCCCUCUCUUCCUUCAAGAUUUAGCUCAAGCACUAACUUUUACUUGAUCACCUCCACUGCAUCCUAAAGUGUCUGCAGCUUACAAAUAUGCCCAUGUUUUCCCCAUCCUUUAAAAAAUACUCUUGUUUGACUACUAUCCUUGCUAGCUAUCAUCUGUCUCUCCUCAGUUUCCUGGAUAAACCCUUUAAGAAAAUCAUCAUUAAUCGAUCCCUCUACUCAUUUCCUGCCAUUCUUAUAUUAGGAGGAAAAUUUUCUCAUUGAUAUAGGAAAUAUCUUUAGCAAAAAAAAAAAACACCUUUUCUCAAAGCCUGAAGGGAAAGAGGAUGGAGACAAAUAUUGUGAAUUUUCAAAUCUAGCAAUAAUUAGAGAAACUAUUUGAGGGCACUAAAAUUUGAAAGGGCAAAAAUGAAAACAUGAUGCAUGUGUGUGUUAUGUCUUCCCUUUUGGAAUAGAAGCUCUUUGAGGAUGCAAGACUGUUCCAUUUUUAUCUUUGUAUCCCCAGCACUUACCACUGAGUCUGGGAUCAAGUAGUUACUUAAUAAAUUCUUACUAAUUGAUGAUUUCCAAUGACUGGCUAUUUUAAAAUUAGUUAAUUUAUAUUUUUACAAUUCUUUCACACUAGGAAGAAUAGAAAUAACUGAGCUUAGCACUUAGUUACAGUAGGAAGAAUUAUUAAACUAGGAAAUUGACCUCAUGGUAUAUUUUCUUGUUUUCUGUCCACCAUGUGAGCUCAUCCCACCUUUGAAUUAUGGUGCCCUCUUUAGGACCUCAGCCCACAGGCCAAAGUUUACCUUUCUGUUCUCAACUUUUCUUAAUGCUAUUUUUACAUUACUAAUUUCACAACAUUGACUUAAGGGACGCUUGUCUGAGGCACCAAAAUAAGUUGUGGAUCUAAUUUAGAUACAAGAAUAAGCAGAGGUGAGAGACAGUUCAUCAAGAAGAGCUCAGUUUUUGGAGAGAAAUUUAUGAGAGAGAAGGGGGAUAGGUACAG
ensembl:lncRNA